UGUGGGCCUUUUCUGCUAAGUUGUUGUAUUAUUGCUUUAUUAGGAAGAUAAUCAGUCAUAUGCUUACCAAAUGUGCUGGGUAUUUUGCAAGAAUCCAUACAUACGUUACUUCAUUUAAACUUGGCAGUAACUUUUCAAGUGUGACCCAAAUCUUCAGGUGUUCAAUGUUUUCAUUGAUAACCUCGAUACUCGUCUUCCUCGAAUAGCAUUAUUUUCUACAAGAACCAUAUAUGCUGGAGAAGAACUAACUUUUGAUUACCAAAUGAAAGGUUCUGGAGAUACAUCUUCAGACUCUAUUGACCACAGCCCAGCAAAAAAGAGGG